rnacentral:rRNA from 1 species
CGCGUAGGCGGCUUGCUAAGUAGGGGGUGAAAUCUCGCGGCUCAACCGCGGGGCUGCCUCCUAAACUGGCAGGCUCGAGCACGGUAGAGGCUGGUGGAAUUCCCGGUGUAGCGGUGGAAUGCGUAGAGAUCGGGAAGAACAUCGGUGGCGAAGGCGGCCAGCUGGGCCGUUGCUGACGCUGAUGCGCGACAGCGUGGGGAGCAAACA